GACUGUGGGAGUUUUGAGGAAGCCUGGUUAGGUGUGCUGUAAUUGGGGUUUGUCUUACUUUCUCUCAUGAUUGGACUUGGAUAAUGGGCUUUAUAUAUGAAGAACACCAAGCAAAAUGUCUUCUCACCACAUCAUAGCAAGGGUGCAUGAGACUAAGAGUCAACACACACAUCGCUGUUGACAAGGGACUGGACCCCUGUGUAGACAGGGCUCCUCAAUGCUGAUGCGAACUUGAACCCCAACACCAGACAGGCUCAUCACUGGUUAUGCCAACCUGGACCCAACAGAAGACAGGCGCACCACUGGUGAUGUCAACCUGGACCCCAAGAGUCCACCCCCUGUCCACUGCUGAUGUCAGCCCUGCCCCCUGGAGGAGGCCGUGUGUUCACUGUGGAGUCCCCUUCACCGCUGCUGGCCUUCUGUACUCUGUGGACGCAAAUCUGGCAGUUCAGCCACACUCAGGAGGGAGCCUUCCCUCAAGCGCUUGGUCUUCCGUGAGACUGUCUACUUCUCAUGUGGUUUUUUUUUUCUGUAGAUUCUACUUAUUUAUUUGAGAGGUAGAGUUACAGUGAAAGGGAGAGACAGAGGGAGAGAGAGAGAGAAGUCCUCCAUCCACAGGUUCACUCCCCAAAUGGCCGCAACGGCUGGAGCUGGGCCGAUCUGAAGCCAGGAGCCAGGAGCCUCUCCUGGGUCUCCCACAUGGGUGCAGGGGCCCAAGCACCUUGGCCAUCCUCCACUGCCCUCUCAGGCCAUAGCAGAGACCCAGAUCAGAAGAGGAGUAGCUGGGACUAGAAUCAGUGCCCAUAUGGGAUGCCAGCAUUGCAGGCAGAGGAUUAACCUACUGCACCACAACACCAGCCUUCCUCAUCUGUUUACUUAGGACUCAUGAAUACUUGCUUAUAUGUUGGGUUUUAAUCUGAUACAAUAUUUAUCUUUUUGGUCAAAUUGCUCUGGCUUUGGCCAUUGGCAGCUCUUUCAGGCUGGCCCCUGUCCGUUGGACACACCCUCAUGCUUUCAAAUAAGUGUAGCCAUCCAUGGGAGAAUAUUUCUGACAUCUAAUCAUUGUAGGUAUCUCAGAAUUAAAUUUACUACGUGCCGUCUUCCAAUGCUAAUCCCAACUAUAUGACUUCCCUUCCACAGUGACAUUUGAUUCUCAUCAGGAAAGACUAUAGAUUUCCUUAGUCAAGCAAAUCAUCAUUGUGAGAGAAGACUGACUGAGUUCCAGUGCAGAGUGAACAGUGAGAGAGAGAGACAGAGAGAAAGGUCUUCCUUUACCGCUGGUUCACCCUCCAAUGGCCGCCGCGGCCAGCACACUGUGGCCGGCGCACCGUGCUGAUCUGAAGCCAGGAGCCAGGUGCUUCUCCUGGUCUCCCAUGCAGGUGCAGGGCCCAAGUACUUGGGCCAUCCUCCACUGCACUCCCUGGCCACAGCAGAGAGCUGGCCUGGAAGAGGGGCAACCGGGACAGAAUCCAGCACUCCGACCAGGACUAGAACCCGGUGUGCCGGCGCCGCAGGCGGAGGAUUAGCCUAUUGAGCAGUGGCGCCGGCCUGUUCAUAACAUUUUUACAUGUAAUAGCCCAAAACUGAAAAUGCAACCUAAAUAUCCAACAAAUGAGUAAAUGGAUUUAAAAAAGCUAUACUAUGUACAAACAAUGAAGGACAAUUCAGCAAAAAUCCAAAACAAAUUCAAAAAUAAAGUUCUGUAAAGUACAACAACAUGAAUGCAUCUAAAAAUAAUCACAGUGAGUGAAAGAAGCCAGGCCAAAAAUGACUACAUACUCUAUUCUACUGUACAAAAUUUUUGAAAAUGCACGCUAGUCUGUAUGACAAAAAGCUUAUUAGUAGUUGGGGCCAGCAUUGUGGCAUAGCGGGUAAACCCACUGCCUGCCAUGCCAGCAUCCCAUAUGAGUGCCAGUUCGUAUCCCAGUUGCUCCACUUUCAACCCAGCCCCCUGUUAAUGGUCUGGGAAAAGCAAAUGGAAGAUGGCCCAAGUGCUUGGGCUGCUGCUACCACAUGGGAGACCCAGAUGAAGUUCCUGGCUCCUGGCUUCAGCUUGGCUCAACCCUGACCAUUGCAGCCAUCUGGGGUGCAAUGGGGUGAAGCAGCAAAUGGGAGACCUCUCUGUUUCUUCUCUCCCUCUGUCUCUGUAAAUCUGAAUUUCAAAUAAAUAAAUAAAUUUUGAAAAAAGCCUAUUAGUUGCCACCUACUGAGUGAUAGACAGUUAAGUAGGAAUUACAAAGGAGUACAAAGAAACUUCUGAGGGUGAUUGUUACAUUCAAUGUCUUGAUUAUGGUGUGGUUUCAUGGGUGUAAACAUGUCAAAUCUUAUCAAAUUUUCCACUUUAAAUGUGCAGUGUAUUAUGUUGCAUAUUAUACCUCAAUUGAGACGUUUUUAAAAGCUAUGAAUCAAAUAAAGUGUAAUCAUAGAUAUGAAUAUUAUUUACACAGUCAUACUAAUACAAGCACUGAGAAUUAGUUUAACCAAAAUUGUGAGCUAGUCUUUUUUGAGGAGACUAGAGGCUGGAUUGUUUCAUUUGCAUUAUUCUGAUCUCCAGCAAAGUUCUGCAUUGUGUCACAUACUCAUUGAUCUUAGAAAUUUUUCCCCUUUCUGUUAAUUGUGUCCUCGUGCACUUAGCUAAUUUUGACAGGCUUUCCUGUGCUAUCCUCACUAAUGUAAAGGAGUUCCUUGUAUAUUCCAGAUACCAGUCCCUUUUUGGUUACACAUGCUGCAAUAUUUCAUCUCAGGCUGUCUCUGCCUAUUAAUUCCUUCUAACUCCUUCCCCUUCCUUGCAGGGCACCUCACCUCCCCUGUCCAAAACAUCAGACAGGUCACAACUUCAAUCGACAUUCUACAUCUAUAAUUUUAACUUACACUCACAGCUGUCUUAAAAUCUAAUAUUCUGAGUAAACUACAAAGGCUGUGUGAUUCUGUAAUAGAGAAUCAAUGAGUCUUCAUG